rnacentral:tRNA from 1 species
GGGACGGUAGCUCAGUGGCAGAGCGCGGAGUCGGCCGACGUAACUCUUGACCGUGGUCGCAGGUUCGAAUCCUGCCCGUUCCACCA